CAGGAGCUGCAACGAAGGGGUACGCUCAGGAAUGAGGCACCAUGGUUUGGGCCCAAGGAUCCAGUAAUGAAGAGGAGGCCUCCAGCCUUGCUCCCUGUUAUUGAGCAACAGGAAAUACUGUCUCUGUUUUCCACUGAGCUGGGCCAGGAGUGAUGUUGGUGAAAUCAGAGCUGGUUGUUUCAUGGACACAUCCUGACAGCUGUGUGUGAUUUGAGCCAUCUCGGCAUCCUCUUCAGCUCUGCCUUCUAAUGCUUACAGUACAACUCCCAGCUAGCUUAAAUGGAAAAGCAGCUGACUCAGAAGAGUUGUAUUUACGCUGAUGUACUUUUUCUUUGGAGAAAUAAAGUCACUGAGAACUAAAACGUGGGAGAAGCAAGAGGAUUUAACUGUCAGAAAAACUUUGUUUCACAAUUAACCUUGGGACUUGGGAAAGAAGAAACGAUGGACUGCUUUCCGGCAGGUAGCAACUUUCAGCGGUCCUGAACUGGAAGGGCAGGUCUGAGCAAACAAAAGAAAAACAACUGAGUCACUGGGAAUGAAAACAGUGACUGCCCCAAUACUAUGAUAAGAUUUGAUGCAUCUGAUCAACCACAGAUUCCCCCCAAAACCAAUAUUGAUUCUUCUGCAAGGGUCAAUAUGUGAACCUCUACAAAAGUAUUAAGGGAACUGUCCCUCCCCUAAGGGAGUCUGUUCUUUGCCACCUCUCCUAUUGUCUCUGUUUUCGGUGGUACUGCAUAGUGCUCCUCUUAAGAUAAGACCAAAAGGGAAAGGAAAACAAAGGCUGAGAAACAAGAGGAGGGAGAAAGAGACAGUUAGUAAUUAACAGGAGAAAAGAGAGAAAAUAAAUAAUGGAGAUUAGGAAAAAUAAAUCCACUAAAGUAAAUGGGAGAGUGUGUAUAUAAAUAGAAGAAAAAUAACGAAAAAUCCCCUUGCGAAAUGACAUGUGCAUCAACCCAGAAAUAAGGGAGCAUGAGGUUAAGCUGUGCUUUCAGGUACUGUGGUUACCAGAAAGGACCACAUAUGAGGCAUUUCCAAGUUUUUCCUUCUAUUAUGCUUAUACUUUCUGGUGGGUUAUGUAUGUCUCCGUACCUUUCUUACAUAGCAACCUCAUAGCAUGUGCAGUUUCUGAGAGCACCAAACAAGACAAUGAUAGAUGUUUCUCUACUGCUGCAUCUUUCUGCCAGCAGCUGAUUGUGAAAAACUUGUCUGAACAGGGUAAGGAAAAGGAGUUCCUAUUGUCACCCCUCUGUCAAACUGUCUACAUGCUCUAGCCUGAGACAGAAUCAUUUUUACCUUGGAUGCAAAGCUACCAGA